AUUGAACGCUGGCGGCAUGCCUUACACAUGCAAGUCGAACGGCAGCACGGGAGCUUGCUCCUGGUGGCGAGUGGCGAACGGGUGAGUAAUGCAUCGGAACGUGCCCUGAAGUGGGGGAUAACGUAGCGAAAGUUACGCUAAUACCGCAUAUUCUGUGAGCAGGAAAGCAGGGGAUCUUCGGACCUUGCGCUUUUGGAGCGGCCGAUGUCGGAUUAGCUAGUUGGUGGGGUAAAGGCCCACCAAGGCGACGAUCCGUAGCGGGUCUGAGAGGAUGAUCCGCCACACUGGAACUGAGACGCGGUCCAGACUCCUACGGGAGGCAGCAGUGGGGAAUUUUGGACAAUGGGCGCAAGCCUGAUCCAGCCAUGCCGUGUGCGGGAAGAAGGCCUUCGGGUUGUAAACGCUUUGUCAGGGAAGAAACGGUCUGAUCUAAUAAAUUAGGGCUAAUGACGGUACC
rnacentral:rRNA from 1 species